GUGCCAGCAGCCGCGGUAAUACGUAGGUGGCAAGCGUUAUCCGGAAUUAUUGGGCGUAAAGCGCGCGCAGGUGGUUUCUUAAGUCUGAUGUGAAAGCCCACGGCUCAACCGUGGAGGGUCAUUGGAAACUGGGAGACUUGAGUGCAGAAGAGGAAAGUGGAAUUCCAUGUGUAGCGGUGAAAUGCGUAGAGAUAUGGAGGAACACCAGUGGCGAAGGCGACUUUCUGGUCUGUAACUGACACUGAGGCGCGAAAGCGUGGGGAGCAAACAGGAUUAGAUACCCUGGUAGUCC
rnacentral:rRNA from 1 species